AAAACUCUGUCCAACAUUGUUGGGCUCAUAUUAAUGAACAUGUCAGCAAGUUUUGUGGAGCUUUGGCGCAGAUUGAGAAAAGAAACAAAAGCGGGACGACACAAGUUGACAAGAUGAAAAACGCACUAAUUAAGUACCGUGAAGAUGAGGGAAACAAAGCUUUCGGUUUAAUGCAUUGCUAUGAGAAACUAGAACAUCAGGAGAAGUGGAAAAAUAGAGUGGCUAACAAAAAACAGAAAAAGACCUCUAGUUCUACUACUGGUUCAUCUACUCCUAGUGCCAACGCAAGCAGGUUUGAGGAUGAAGCUACAUCUCCCAACAAAGAUGUUCCCGUGACAAGACCAAUUGGUAAGAAGGCAGCCAAAGCACUACGAGCUAAAGGGUCUAGCUCUACAGGUGAUAGUGCUGUCAUGGAGACAUUGGGCAGUUUGUUUUCGUCAAGGAGGAAGGAGGCGCUCACAAGGGAGGCGAAGAGACAAGAACGGUUUAAUAUAUCCAUUGCAAGAGAAAAGGAGAUUGAAGAACAAAGGUUGAAAGAAGAAAGGAAAAAACCGAGCAAUAAAAGAGCAACACUUGGCACUAGAACAAGAAAAGGUUAGACUGAAGACUGUUGCACAAGACCGUGAAAUAAUGAGCAUGAACAUUACUGGUAUGGAUGAGCAACAACAACAAUACUAAAAGCUUUUGCGGAGUCAGAUCAUUGCUCGGAACUCAUCUAUUUGAGCUUCACAAGUUGCGCUGAAUAGUUGGGCGGACUAGUAUCUGUUAAGAUUAAUGUGUUGUAUGAGCUAUUUCUGGUGGUCUUUAUGUGUUGUAUGAACUAUUUCAGAUCAUUGCUUGGUACUACUCUUUA